UAGACAGCUAAAUAGCAGGUCCCUCCACCCCCCUCGUACACCUCCUAUUGCUCGGAUAGCUGCCCUCUGUAUCUAAAAAUCUCCCAAGGACACCGGCUUGAUCGAUCUUUGUCAUGCAUUUGGUUUCGCACUUGCGAAGAACAGAGAAGAGAGCCUGGCUUUCUGCGAAACAUUAACUUGCACCCGGCUCCUGUCCCUAAGCGGGUUUGCUCAGCGCUGCUGCGGCAUGUCAGGGAUCUAGCGCGUCUGUCUGUCUGUCUGUCUUUUUGUUGCUUCAAGGGAGAUAAAUUAACAGCGAAAAAAGAAGAGGAGUACUUGGGGCACCUUAGAGACUAACAAAGUGCUGUCCCAAGCCCUGAAGCGUUAGGAAGCACUAAGGCAAUUCCCUUCGGGGUUGAUCAUCCGAGUGUCUGUUUCGCCGCGGUCCACCACGCUGCUCCGCUGUCUCUUAUCGCAUCGACUGAGGGAAAAUGGGGACCUGCCGUCUUGGCUGUAUUGCAAAGAUAGCCGCUAUCUAGCAAAGUUGAUCGGAAAAUCUUGACUUCUCCGGAUUAUAUAUUUCAGGUUUAGCUCCGAGUGCUUUCAGCGUGGGAGUGCCUGUGUCUCCAAGGUCGCCUCAUAAAUCCAGCUCCCUGAAGCCAACCCUGUAAUCCAUGUCGUCAGUUGCCCCUCCCUCCGUCAGAGCAACGGCAGACAAUCGUUCCGCGCCUUUUUUCUGUGCGGACGCCAUACCAAGGCAAGCAUGGAGGCCGCUCAGCUCACUUUGGCAAUUAGGAGCACAUUAAACACCACACGCAUUAUCCAGCAGUAUAUGCAGCACCAGAACCUGGCAGAGCGAUACCGGGCAACGAGGCGACGUCAGCACGGUCACGUGAGUGAUCAGGACAUGGAUACAGACUUCUCUGAAAGAAUGAGCCCUGGCAAUGCAUGCAUCAUGGUGCUAAUGGGGCAGGUUCAUGCUGUGGAACGCUGAUUCUGGGCUCAGGAAACAAGCACAGACUGGUGGGACCGCAUAGUAUUGCGGGUCUGGGACGAUUCCCAGUGGCUGCGAAACUUUCGCAUGUGUAAGGGCACUUUCAUGGAACUUUGUGACUUGCUUUCCCCUGCCCUGAAGCGCAUGAAAACCAAGAUGAGAGCAGCCCUCACAGUUGAGAAGUGAGUGGCAAUAGCCCUGUGGAAGUCUGCAACGCCAGACAGCUACCGGUCAGUUGGGAAUCAAUUUGGAGUGGGCAAAUCUACUGUGGGGGCUGCUGUGAUGCAAGUAGCCCACGCAAUCAAAGAUCUGCUGAUAUCAAGGGUAGUGACCCUGGGAAAUGUGCAGGUCAUAGUGGACGGCUUUGCUGCAAUGGGAUUCCCUAACUGUGGUGGGGCCAUAGAUGGAACCCAUAUCCCUAUCUUGGCACCGGAGCACCAAGCCGGCGAGUACAUAAACCGCAAGGGGUACUUUUUAAUGGUGCUGCAAGCACUGGUGGAUCACAAGGGACGUUUCACCAACAUCAACGUGGGAUGGCCGGGAAAGGUACAUGACGCUCGCAUCUUCAGGAACUCUGGUCUGUUUCAAAAGCUGCAGGAAGGGACUUUAUUCCCAGAAAAUAACUGUUGCGGACGCUGAAAUGCCUAUAUGUAUCCUUGGGGACCCAGCCUACCCCUUAAUGCCAUGGCUCAUGAAGCCGUACACAGGCACCCUGGACAGUAGUCAGGAGCUGUUCAAGUGCAGAAUGGUGGUAGAAUGUGCAUUUGGACAUUUAAAGGCGCGCUGGUGCAGUUUACUGACUCGCUUAGACCUCAGCAAAACCAAUAUUCCCACUGUUAUUACUGCUUGCUGUGUGCUCCACAAUAUCAGUGAGAGUAAGUGGGAGACGUUUAUGGUGGGGUGGGAGGUUGAGGCAAAUCGCCUGGCUGCUGGUUACGCGCAGCCAGACACCAGGGUGGUUAGAAGAGCACAGGAGGGCGCGGUACGCAUCAGAGAAGCUUUGAAAACCAGUUUCAUGACUGGCCAGGCUACGGUGUGAAAGUUCUGUUUGUUUUUCCUUGAUGAAACCGCCCGCCCCUUGGUUCACUCUACUUUCCUGCAAGCUAACCACCCUCCCCUCCUCCCUUUAAUCAUUGCUUGCAGAGGCAAUAAAGUCAUUGUUGCUUCACA